rnacentral:snRNA from 1 species
UUAAAAAUGCUUUCCUGGUACUCACUUUGGAACAAUACAGAGAAGGUUAACGUGGCCCCUGCACAAGGGUGACACACACAUUUGUGGAGUGCUCUAUACUGUA